rnacentral:lncRNA from 1 species
CCUAUAGAUGGAAGACGAGCUGGAGCGAUUCCACAAACAGAACACGCAACUGGAGCUGAACAUCACGGAACUGUUGCAGAAACUGAGAGCUACAGAUCAGGAGAUGCGCAAGGAGCAGCAGAAGGAAAGGGACCUGGAAGCGCUGGUCCGGCGGUUUAAGACAGACCUUCACAACUGCGUGUCGUACAUCCAGGAACCCCGGCAGCUGAAGGAGAAGAUCCGUGCUCUCUUUGAGAAGUAUGUGCAGCGGGCAGACAUGGUGGAGAUUGCGGGGUUGAACUCGGACCUGCAACAGGAGUACGCCCGCCAGCGGGAACACCUGGAGAGGAACCUUGCCACACUCAAGAAGAAAGUGGUCAAGGAAGGCGAGCUGCACCGCGCCGACUACGUCCGCAUCAUGCAGGAAAAUGUCUCUCUGAUCAAAGAAAUUAAUGAGCUCCGCAGGGAGCUGAAGUUAACCCGCUCCCAAAUCUAUGACCUUGAAUCAGCCCUGAAAGUAUCCAAGAAAACGCGAGCACAAGAAGCUCCAGAGUCAGUGCUCACCAAGGAUGUCGUCGGCACCAGUUCUACUAUGAGGCUAAAUGAACAAGAGGAAACCGGGAGGAUCAUCGAGAUGCAACGCCUGGAAAUCCGCCGCCUCAGAGACCA